GGCCGGCGAGGCGAGGAGGGCCGGGCCGCCACGGUGGGGCGAAAAGCCCUGAAAUUUCCUCUCAGUUCCUUCCGGUGCGCCUCCCGCUCGCCCUUGCGGAGGCCCUGAGGGCGGAUUCAAGGCCCCGCGAGAAGCCAUCUGAGGCGGCGACGACUGUCCUCAGCCCCACGGGAACGGCGCGGACGCAGCGUCCCUCUCCCGGACAAGAAAACAGCCAUUCUAGAGUUUGACUGAUAUUACAAAGGAUCCAGACUUUAAUGAAAUCUAUGAUGAAGACGUGAAUGAAGAUCCAACAUAUGAUCCCAAUAGCCCUGAAGAAACAGCUGUAUUUAUGAAAUAUGCUGAAAAUAUUAUGCUAAAGUUAACAUUCAGUACCACACAAAUUCAACAGUAUGAAAAUGUCUUUAUAUUUGAAACAGGCUAUUGGCUUACUAAUGCUAUAAAAUAUAACCAGGAUUAUCUUGAUAUCUGUACCUACCAGAGACUACAGCAAAGAUUAUAUCUUCAAAAAAAGAUUAUUCAAAAACACUUUGAGAAGAAAAAAGAUAUCAGAAGAGGGAUAGGAUACCUAAAGUUAAUAUGUUUUCUGAUUCCAUUUCUACUGAGUUUAAAGAAGAAAAUGAAAGUUCCAUAUUUAAGUAGUCUGCUUCAGCCUUUUUCAGAGUAUUCCAUUUGGUAUGAAGUCCGCUGUUGAAAGAGGGUUGUCUGCAGUU
rnacentral:sRNA from 1 species